rnacentral:lncRNA from 1 species
UCAAAAUAUUCCCUGACAGGCAGACUUAAAUGAGAAAACUAUUGCUCUCUGAGUGAAAAAUAUGUCUGAUGGGGUACAUAAUUUUCCUUGAGAAAAAUGCUUUUCAUACAAGGGUCUCAAAACCUCAUUAGUUUUGCUUAAGGUGCUGAGACUGUGUGGUGCGUAGUCCAUGGGCAAGAGGACUGAGUAGGCUGUGUCCUUUUCUCUGCACUUUUACAGCUUUACUAAAACUGGAAGAGGGGGAAUGAGAUUACAGGAGCCCCCAAACCAGAGGCACCAGAUAAAAUACAGAACACACAGUUACAUUUGAGUUCCAAAUGAACAAAAAUAUAUUUUAUAGUGAGCGUAUCCUAAACAAAAGCAGGAGUGACGAGAAUGGAGAAUAUGGAAAGAUUUUGAAAAACUACUUUUUCCGGGCUUAGUGAGAUAUAACUGACCAAAAUUGUACGUAUUUACUAUGUAAAAAAUGAUGCUUUGAUAUGCAUAUACGUUGUGAAUUUAUUACCAUAAUCAACCUGAUUAAAAUAUCUUUGACUUCACAUAGUUAUCAUUUUUGUGUGUGUUGUGAGAACAUUUAAGCUCUACUCUGUUAUCAAACAUCAAGCAUACAAUAUAAUGUUAUUAAACUAUGAUCAUCAUGCUGUACAUUAGAUCUCCAGAAUUUAUUCAUCUUGCAUAACUGAAACUUUGUAUCUUUGACCAACAUCUCCUAUUUCCUCUACCCACAAUCCCUGGCGACAACCAUUCUACUCUCUUCUUAUUUUUUAUUAUUAUUAUUUGUGUGUGUGUGUGUGUGUGAGGAAGAUUGGCCCUGAACUAACAUCUGUUGCCAAUCUUCCUCUUUUCUUUUUCCCUUCCAAAGCCUCAGUACAAAAUUUUAUAUCCUACUUGUAACUCAUUCUAAUUCUUCUACGUGGGAUGCUACUACAGCACUGCCUGAUGAGCCGUGUGUAGGUCCAUGCCCAAGAUCUGAACUGGCAAACCCCAGGCCACCAAAGCAGAGCAUGCAAACUUAACCACUCUGCCACAGGGCCAGCCCCUACUCUUUUCGUGGAAAUCGAGUUUUUUAAAUUCUGCAUAUGAGUGAGAUCAUGAAGGUAAUUUUUUCUGUGCUUGGCUGUUUCAUUUAGCAUAAUGUCUUCAAGGUUCAUGUCUUGGCUAUUGUGAAUAACGUUGCAAUGAACACCUGUGGAUAUUUCUUCAAGAUACUGAUUUAAUUUCCUUUGGAUAUAUAUCCACAAGUGGGAUUGCUGGAUCAUAAGAGUCCUAUUUUUAAUUUUGCGAGGAA